UAAGGAAUAUUGGACAAUGGAGGGAACUCUGAUCCAGCCAUGCCGCGUGAAGGAUGAAGGCGCUCAGCGUUGUAAACUUCUUUUGAAUGGGAACAAAACCCCCAAUGCGUUGGGGUCUGAGGGUACCAUUAGAAUAAGCACCGGCUAACUCCGUGCCAGCAGCCGCGGUAAUACGGAGGGUGCAAGCGUUAUCCGGAAUCACUGGGUUUAAAGGGUGCGUAGGCGGUUAUAUAAGUCAGUCGUGAAAUACCUUUGCUUAACAGACGGAACUGCGAUUGAUACUGUAUAACUUGAAAGAGGUUUAGGCUGGCGGAAUGAGACAUGUAGCGGUGAAAUGCAUAGAUAUGUCUUAGAACACCGAUUGCGAAGGCAGCUGGCUGGGCCUGAUUUGACGCUGAGG
rnacentral:rRNA from 1 species